rnacentral:lncRNA from 1 species
UUAAAUUCAUCAUUAUCUAACACAAAUUUUAACUAUUAACCACUCAUAGCGCGCGCACACAUACACACACAAAAGCCUUGUUUUUAGUCAACAAAACACUAACAAAAAGAACCACCCCUACCAUACUCUCUCUCUCUCUCUCUCUCAUGUUAAUUUUGGUUAAGUAAGAAAAAAUCACAUCAUACCAUCACCUUCACAAACCAAUAUUCAUCAUCCAAGUUUUACAUAACCACAAAAAUCACAACACCAUUUACAAACCUUCCUUCAACCUUUAAACAUAGUCAUACCUUCAAUUCAUUCAACACCGCCACACAAAUUUUCAUUAAAAAAAUCAAGGACUUCAAAACCUUAAACCAACAUCAAGAUUAAGAAGCAAAUUCAACAACUCUGAACACAAUCAACUCAAUCCUCAAACUUCAACAACAACAAUUCCAAUGCCAAGUUCCAAAUCAUUGACAAAACAACAACCAAACAUCAUCAUAACACGACCCAACAUAACAAAAAAAAAGAAACUAAAUGCAAAGAAGAUGACAAACCC